rnacentral:rRNA from 1 species
CCUACGGGUGGCAGCAGUGAGGAAUAUUGGUCAAUGGACGCAAGUCUGAACCAGCCAUGCCGCGUGCAGGAAGACGGCUCUAUGAGUUGUAAACUGCUUUUGUACGAGGGUAAACGCAGAUACGCGUAUCUGUCUGCAAGUAUCUUACGAAUAAGGAUCGGCUAACUCCGUGCCAGCAGCCGCGGUAAUACGGAGGAUUCAAGCGUUAUCCGGAUUUAUUGGGUUUAAAGGGUGCGUAGGCGGGCGGAUAAGUUAGAGGUGAAAGCCCGGGGCUCAACUUCGGAAUUGCCUCUGAUACUGUUCGGCUAGAGAGUAGGUGAGGUAGGCGGAAUGUAUGGUGUAGCGGUGAAAUGCUUAGAGAUCAUACAGAACACCGAUUGCGAAGGCAGCUUACCAAGCUACGUCUGACGUUGAGGCACGAAAGCGUGGGGAGCAAACAGGAAUAGAUACCCGAGUAGUC